rnacentral:lncRNA from 1 species
CUAGCAAAGAGUCCCUGCUGCUUGGUGGAGAAGGAGACCUCUGUGGAAGUGUGUUGGUUGUGGAGUCUUGCCUGUCUUCUCUAUGGUAUCCACGGGGUUGUCCCAUGAUCCUAGGAGAGGAAAAACAUAAGCCAGCCUGAAGAUACGUCAAGCACAGCCACAGGAAUAAACUGCAAAAUCCCUAAGAAUCCAAAAGGAUCUGCAGGAUUUCUCAAGCCUGCCUAGAUGUCCCCUUGCCAGAACGGUGGUGCAGUGAUGUAUUACCUGCCAACAGCACAAUGUGAGGCAGGGUCCAGCCGUUCUGCCCAGCAUACAACUUGAGGGAGCAGCCCCUUUUGAAGACCUCCAGGUGGACUUCACAGGAAUGCCAAAGUGUGGAGUGAUCAUGUGUGGAUCAAGGACUGGAAUGUAGCCCACCCACAACUACGGUGGGAAGGACCCCAGACCAUCAUUUUGACGACUCUCACAGCAUGAAAAUAGAAGGAUUCCCAGCCUGGAUCAAUCACAGUCAUGUAUCAUCUACAUUGUCUGAGACCUGAGAGGUGAGACUGAGCCUGGUGGACCCCUGCAAAGUGACAUUGAGAAAGAUGGCAAGCCCUGCUACAGUCACAACCAGAAGCUUACUGUUGUAUGCAUGGCAAAAGAAUGAGGAUACUCAUCAUGGGAUUUAUUCUCCUUAAAAUUUGUACUUCUAUAAUAAAGACUGAUUUUUCCUGCAUGGAGGACUGUUC